rnacentral:rRNA from 1 species
UCAUUGGUUAGAGCGCACCCCUGAUAAGGGUGAGGUCGGACGUUCGAGUCGUCCCAGGCCCACCACUGAUUCCAGAAGGUUGGGCGUCGAUCUGAAGCUCUUGUUGUGCUGAGCGUGCUCUUAGGGGCCAUAGCUCAGUUGGGAGAGCGCGUGCUUUGCAAGCAUGAGGUCGUCGGUUCGAUCCCGUCUGGCUCCACCAUUUCCUGCAUUCCGAUGAGGGAUGCGGUCGAGAUGGUCGGUGGUGAAGCGCUUCAAGCGUGAGAGAAGAACAUCCGGUUCUUUUCUCUUCUGUCCGCACAAUCUGUUUCGCUGAUCCUCAGCAAGCCCCCAUGUGGGCGAGGAUGAGCGCUGCUGUCUGACAUUGUGAAUCUGGGCGUUUUCGAUUUGCUGGCCGCAAGGCUGGCGGGUCGUGACAAUCAAGCUUUCGGGCUUGAGAGGACACGAUCAUCGGGUGCUGACCGCACCGGUGUCGAAAAUGUCGAAGCUGGUCUUUAGCGUCCAGCCCUCUCGCUGAUCCGCCUGGUGCGGAUUGAUGAGAACCUCAGCCGAGGAGUGGGCAUGGACGAUGAGAACGAUCAAGUGUCUUAAGGGCAUUCGGUGGAUGCCUUGGCGCUAAGAGGCGAAGAAGGACGUGGUACGCUGCGAUAUGCUUCGGGGAGCUGCGAACAAG